rnacentral:rRNA from 1 species
GGAGAGCCUUGCUCUCCAGAGAGUUAGCGGCGGACGGGUGAGUAACACGUAGGUAACCUGCCUGUAAGACUGGGAUAACUAGCGGAAACGUUAGCUAAUACCGGAUAAUUUAUUUUCUCGCAUGGGGAAGUAAUGAAAGACGGAGCAAUCUGUCACUUGCAGAUGGACCUGCGGCGCAUUAGCUAGUUGGUGGGGUAACGGCUCACCAAGGCGACGAUGCGUAGCCGACCUGAGAGGGUGAACGGCCACACUGGGACUGAGACACGGCCCAGACUCCUACGGGAGGCAGCAGUAGGGAAUCUUCCGCAAUGGACGAAAGUCUGACGGAGCAACGCCGCGUGAGUGAUGAAGGUUUUCGGAUCGUAAAGCUCUGUUGCCAGGGAAGAACGUUCGGUAGAGUAACUGCUACCGGAGUGACGGUACCUGAGAAGAAAGCCCCGGCUAACUACGUGCCAGCAGCCGCGGUAAUACGUAGGGGGCAAGCGUUGUCCCGGAAUUAUUGGGCGUAAAGCGCGCGCAGGCGGCUAUUUAAGUCUGGUGUUUAAUCCUAAGGCUCAACCUGAGGUCGCAUUGGAAACUGGGUAGCUUGAGUGCAGAAGAGGAGAGUGGAAUUUCCACGUGUAGCGGUGAAAUGCGUAGAGAUGUGGAGGAACACCAGUGGCGAAGGCGACUCUCUGGGCUGUAACUUGACGCUGAGGCGCGAAAGCGUGGGGGAGCAAACAGGAUUAGAUACCCCUGGCAGUCCCACGCCGUAUACCAAUGAAUGCUAGGCGUUAGGGGUUUCGAUACCCCUUGGUGGCGAAGUUAACACAUUUUAGCAUUCC